rnacentral:rRNA from 1 species
UACGUAGGGUGCGAGCGUUAAUCGGAAUCACUGGGCGUAAAGCGCAUGUAGGCGGAUCGAUAAGUCGGGCGUGAAAUCCCCAGGCUCAACCUGGGAACUGCGCUCGAAACUGUAGGUCUUUGAGUGUCGGAGAGGAUGGCGGAAUUCCUGGUGUAGAGGUGAAAUUCGUAGAUAUCAGGAGGAACACCGGUGGCGAAGGCGGCCAUCUGGACGACAACUGACGCUGAGAUGCGAAAGCGUGGGGAGCAAACAGG